rnacentral:rRNA from 1 species
AUUGAACGCUGGCGGCAGGCUUUACACAUGCAAGUCGAACGGCAGCGCGGGCUUCGGCUUGGCGGCGAGGGGCGAAGGGGUGAGUAAUGCAUCGGAACGUGGCCAUUAGUGGGGGCUAGGGGGGCGAAAGCCGGAUUCAUACGCCAUACGACCAUACGGUGAAAGCGGGGGACCAAGAGGCCUUCGGCUAUUGGACGGUCGGAUGUCGGAAUAGCUAGUUGGUGGGGUAAAGGCCUACCAAGGCGACGAUCCGUAGCUGGUCUGAGAGGACGACCAGCCACACUGGGACUGAGACACGGUCCAGACUCCUACGGGAGGCAGCAGUGGGGAAUUUUGGACAAUGGGGGCAACCCUGAUCCAGCCAUGCCGCGUGCGGGAAGAAGGCCUUCGGGUUGUAAACCCCUUUUGUUGGGAAAGAAAAGCAGCAGGUUAAUACCCCGCUGUUAUGACGGUACCCAAAGAAUAAGCACCGGCUAACUUCGUG